ensembl:lncRNA
AUGCAUCCCGGUCCCCCCUGCAUCCAUCCUGCACCCCUCUGUAUCCCUGCAUACAUCCUGUCUUCCACCCUGCAUCCUUCCUGCAUGCUCCCUUCCAUCCAGCACCCCUUCAUUCCCCCCCCUUGCACCCCCUGCAUCCAUCCUGCAUCCCAGCGUGUGCCCCCACAUCCCUCCCCAUCUGCACCCCUGCUGCACUGCUGGAUACAGGCACCCCCUGUAUCCCCAGUGUCUCUUUGCACCCCAAACGUCCGUCCUGCACCUCUGCAUCCCCCUGCACCCUCAUAUCACCCCUGUAUCCCUUUCAGAGGCCUCCUUGCCCCAGGUCGCUGCUGCAUGUCCCACAUUUCUGCCAAACCUCCACCCCUGCGUCCCCCCAGACACCCCGACCUGCCUGCCCUCUGGGCUCUCUGCACCCCCCACAUCCCUCUGCACCCCCACGUGCACCUCCUAGCCCCUGUAUCCGACAUGCACCUCUGCACCUCCAGACAGCCCAUAUCCCCUUGUACCCCACACGCACCUCCUGCACCAUGGGACACCCCUUGUACCCCCCCAUUACCUCCUGCACCACCAGCAUCCCCAUACCCCCAGCACCCCCCUUCCCCACAUCCCUUCUGCAUCGCUCUCCCAAGUGUCCUGCACUUCUCUCACCUCCGAACACCUCUGCACCCCCUGCGUCCCUCUGUAGUGCCCUUCCCCACCCCCCCUGUGCCCCUCCAUGUCCCCAGUUCCCCUUGCACCACCAGCCCUGGGCACUUGGCUGCCGCUCAUGUCCCAGUACAUCCCUGCAGGGCCACCAUGGCUAUCUGGGCACCUCCACAUCCCCCUGUGCCCCCUGCACCAUGGGCCCUGGGCACCCACAUCCCUGUAUCUCUCCAUGCUGCCAGCCAGACGUGGAUAGUCCUGCAAGCCCCAGCACCCCCCUUCUCCCCAAAUCCUCCCUGCACUCUCUCUGUCCUUAUUCUGCUGCUGCUGGACACAGGCUGCUGGACACCCCACGGACAUCCCCUGGCACCAUCACCCCCCAUUCCCUGGACCCCCUCACACAGCCAGCCACAUGCACCCAGAUAUCUGUGUCCCUUGCACCCCCAACACCCACCCCAUAUCCUCCUGGCAUCCCCCCACUGCUGGCCACAGGCACCCCUGUACCACCCCAUAACCCUUGCACCCCUGUAUCCCCCCGCACACUCCUGCAUCCCGCUGCUUCCCCUCACGCCAGCAGCCAGGGGUGCCCAGACACCUCUGCGCCCCAUAUCCACCCCACAACCAUCCCGCCUCCCCCUCACCCCCUGCUGCCACAGGCACCCCAGACACCCCACGCGCUGCACCGCUGGCCCAGGCACCCACGGUCGCUGCAGCCCUCGUGCCCAUUGCACCCACCCUGUUGGGCUGCACCGUGCUGGGCCCCUGCCCCAUCCCCACUCCUACUUGUCCCCCGGCACUGGGGACAUGAGCGCAGUGACCCUGUCCCCGUUAUGUAAAGCCCAGGGAUCGACAGAGCAGGGGCUGGCAGAGGCCCUGGGGUGCUGGCAAGGACUCAGCCCUCACGGGGCAGAGACGGAUGGUGCAUCACACUAG